rnacentral:rRNA from 1 species
GAAGGGGGCUAGCGUUGCUCGGAAUUACUGGGCGUAAAGGGCGCGUAGGCGGGUCGUUUAGUUAGAGGUGAAAGCCCAGGGCUCAACCCUGGAAUUGCCUUUAAUACUGGCGGCCUUGAGUAUGGCAGAGGUGUGUGGAACUCCGAGUGUAGAGGUGAAAUUCGUAGAUAUUCGGAAGAACACCAGUGGCGAAGGCGACACACUGGGCCAUUACUGACGCUGAGGCGCGAAAGCGUGGGGAGCAAACAGGAUUAGAUACCCUGGUAGUCCACGCCGUAAACGAUGAGUGCUAGUUGUCGGCAUGCAUGCAUGUCGGUGACGCAGCUAACGCAUUAAGCACUCCGCCUGGGGAGUACGGUCACAAGAUU